rnacentral:rRNA from 1 species
GGACCCGCACAAGCGGUGGAGCAUGUGGUUUAAUUCGAUGCAACGCGAAGAACCUUACCUGGUCUUGACAUCCUGCGAACUUUCUAGAAAUAGAUUGGUGCCUUCGGGAACGCAGUGACAGGUGCUGCAUGGCUGUCGUCAGCUCGUGUCGUGAGAUGUUGGGUUAAGUCCCGUAACGAGCGCAACCCCUAUCCUUAUUUGCCAGCACAUUAUGGUGGGAACUAUAAGGAGACUGCCGGUGAUAAACCGGAGGAAGGCGGGGACGACGUCAAGUCAUCAUGGCCCUUACGACCAGGGCUACACACGUGCUACAAUGGGAUGGACAAAGAGUCGCGAAGCCGCGAGGUGUAGCUAAUCUCAUAAACCUUCUCGUAGUCCGGAUUGGAGUCUGCAACUCGACUCCAUG